rnacentral:rRNA from 1 species
GAUGAACGCUGGCGGCGGGCCUAACACAUGCAAGUCGAACGACCGGACGAGAAGUUUGUUCCUUUAACGUUAGCGGCGGGCGGGUGAGUAACGCGUGGAUCACCUACCAAUAAGACGGGGAGAACUUCGAAAAGACGGAUAUAAUAACAUAGAAUACAUCCAACGGCUGGGAUCAAGAGAGAAAGAGGCUUUUGCUGUCAGAUUGAGACGGAUCCGCGCCGCAUUGUCUAGUUGGUAAGGGCACGCCUGGCCAAGGCGACGAUGCGUAGCCGACCUGAGAGGGUGGUCCGCCACACUGGAACUGAGACACGGUCCAGACUCCUACGGGAGGCAGCAGUGGGGAAUCUUACGCAAUGGGCGAAAGCCUGAUGCAGCAACACCGCGUGAGUGAUGAAGGUCUUCGGAUCGUAAAGCCCUGUUGUUAGGGAAGAACAACAGUGUAGUUAUCCACGAAUGUUCUGACGGUACCCAAUCAGUAAGCCACGGCUAACUACGUG